CUUAUGAUAAAGCUGUGGCUUCCUUUAAGCAUGCUCUAAAGAACGGUGACAUUUGUGAAACUCCAGAUAAGCCAAAAGGCACAGCCAGAAGAAAACCUGCCAAGAAGAAUAAAAGCCAAAAGAAGAAUGCCACAACUCCCUUGAAACAGAGUGAUGAUUCUGACAUUUGGGAUGAUACAGCAUUGAUAAAAGCUUAUGAUAAAGCUGUGGCUUCCUUUAAGCAUGCUCUAAAGAACGGUGACAUUUGUGAAACUCCAGAUAAGCCAAAAGGCACAGCCAGAAGAAAACCUGCCAAGAAGAAUAAAAGCCAAAAGAAGAAUGCCACAACUCCCUUGAAACAGAGUGAUGAUUCUGACAUUUGGGAUGAUA
rnacentral:sRNA from 1 species